rnacentral:rRNA from 1 species
GACGAACGCUGGCGGCGUGCUUAACACAUGCAAGUCGAACGGAAAGGCCCUGCUUUUGUGGGGUGCUCGAGUGGCGAACGGGUGAGUAACACGUGAGUAACCUGCCCUUGACUUUGGGAUAACUUCGGGAAACUGGGGCUAAUACUGGAUAGGAGCUCCUGCUGCAUGGUGGGGGUUGGAAAGUUUCGGCGGUUGGGGAUGGACUCGCGGCUUAUCAGCUUGUUGGUGGGGUAGUGGCUUACCAAGGCUUUGACGGGUAGCCGGCCUGAGAGGGUGACCGGCCACAUUGGGACUGAGAUACGGCCCAGACUCCUACGGGAGGCAGCAGUGGGGAAUAUUGCACAAUGGGCGGAAGCCUGAUGCAGCAACGCCGCGUGCGGGAUGACGGCCUUCGGGUUGUAAACCGCUUUCGCCUGUGACGAAGCGUGAGUGACGGUAAUGGGUAAAGAAGCACCGGCUAACUACGUG